GAUGAACGCUGGCGGCGUGCCUAAUACAUGCAAGUCGAGCGAACAGAUGAGGAGCUUGCUCCUUUGACGUUAGCGGCGGACGGGUGAGUAACACGUGGGUAACCUACCUAUAAGACUGGGAUAACUUCGGGAAACCGGAGCUAAUACCGGAUAAUAUUUCGAACCGCAUGGUUCGAUAGUGAAAGAUGGCUUUGCUAUCACUUAUAGAUGGACCUGCGCCGUAUUAGCUAGUUGGUAAGGUAACGGCUUACCAAGGCAACGAUACGUAGCCGACCUGAGAGGGUGAUCGGCCACACUGGAACUGAGACACGGUCCAGACUCCUACGGGAGGCAGCAGUAGGGAAUCUUCCGCAAUGGGCGAAAGCCUGACGGAGCAACGCCGCGUGAGUGAUGAAGGUCUUCGGAUCGUAAAACUCUGUUAUUAGGGAAGAACAAACGUGUAAGUAACUGUGCACGUCUUGACGGUACCUAAUCAGAAAGCCACGGCUAACUACGUG
rnacentral:rRNA from 1 species